rnacentral:tRNA from 1 species
GGCACCGUGGCUCAAAAGAGUAGGGCGCCAGUCCCAUAUGCUGGGAGGUGCUGGGUUCAAACCCAGCCCCGGCCA